UGGCGAUCUGUUCAUGUCAGGCCUUAAACGAGCUUAAGGGAAGAGGCCUAUUUGAGGCGUUUUCUAUUUAUCAGAUUGUACCGGGGAAGGUUUUUCCGGUUUAGCCCGGAGGGCUUGUAGCUCAGUUGGUUAGAGCGCGCGCUUGAUAAGCGUGAGGUCGGAGGUUCAAGUCCUCCCAGGCCCACCAGUUUAUAAUUUCUGAUCUGCUUUCUGAUUGAUUUUAUAACUGCUUAUAGGAUCUAUGAGCUUAUAAGAGUGUAUAGCAGUUUUUUUAUGAAAUUCUGUUAGAGUGUUUUGAGGGUUUAGGACCGUUUGUUUAAGUUCAGAUGGUUUAGAGGCAUUUUCCCUUUUAAAUCCUGAAAUAGGGGCCG
rnacentral:misc_RNA from 1 species